UGGUGGAGUGAUUUGUCUGGUUAAUUCCGUUAACGAACGAGACCUUAGCCUGCUAAUUAGUCGCACCGAUCUCGAUCGGCGUCGGUUUCUUAGAGGGACUUUGUGGCACUAAACACAAGGAAGUUUGAGGCAAUAACA
rnacentral:rRNA from 1 species